rnacentral:rRNA from 1 species
UACAGAGGGGGCAAGCGUUAUUCGGAAUUAUUGGGCGUAAAGGGCGCGUAGGCGGCCAUUCAAGUGACGGGUGAAAGCCCUCGGCUUAACCGAGGAACUGCCUGUCAGACUGGAUGGCUUGAGACCGGGAGAGGUGAGUGGAAUUCCUAGUGUAGCAGUGAAAUGCGCAGAUAUUAGGAGGAACACCGGUGGCGAAGGCGCCACUCUGGGCCGAAACUGACGCUGAGGAGCGAAAGCGUGGGUAGCAAACAGG